rnacentral:rRNA from 1 species
UGUAUAUUUUUAUUAAUUUUAUAUUUUAAAUUGUUUUAAUUAAAGUUUUAAUUUUUUAUUAUUAUUUAGAAAUAUUUAUAUUUAUUAUAGAAUAUUAGUACUGUAAAGGAAUUUUCUUUAUAUUGGUAAGAAAAAUUAAUUUUUUGUACCUUGUGUAUCAGGGUUUAUUAAAAUAUAUUUUUAAAUAAAUAUUCUCGAAUUUAAAAUAGCUAUUUUAAUAUAAAUUUUAUUGUUUCAAAAAUAUUUACAAUAUUAUUAUAGAAGUGAAAUGUUAUUCGUUUUUAAGUAUAUCUAGUUUUAAAAGAAACAAAUUUAAUUUGAUUUAUAUUAAUAAUUUUAAUUUUUUUUUUUAAUUUUUAGUAUAAUUAUAUUUUUUUAGGGAUUAGCUUGAAAAAAUAAAUUUAAUAUUUUUUAUUAAUUAAGAAUAAUAGGAUUAGAACUUUCCAUUUUUAAAAGUUUGUUAUAAUUUUUCUUUUUAUUUUAAUAUUUAUUUUUUAUAUAAUUUUUUUAUUUUAAUGUUUUUAAUAAUUUUUUAUAUUUAAUAAUAAUGAUAAAAUUAGUAAAUAAAAUUUUAUUUUUAUUAUAAAAUUUAAUAUAAAUUUUAGUAAUUUGGCAAUAUAGAUUUUCACCUGUUUAAUAAAAACAUGUCUUCUUGAAUAUAAUUUGAAGUCUGACCUGCUCUAUGAAUUUUAAAUGGCCGCAGUAUUUUGACUGUGCUAAGGUAGCAUAAUAAUUAGUUUCUUAAUUAGAAGCUUGUAUGAAUGGUUUGAUGAAAAAUCUUCUUUCUUAUUUUUAAAUGUUUAACUUUAUUUUUAAGUAAAAAAGCUUAAAUUUUUUUAGGGGACGAGAAGACCCUAUAGAAUUUUAUAAAAUCUUAUUUUAUUAUUUUUUAGAAUUUAAUUUUUAAUUUAAAAUUUUAUUUAAUUGGGGUGAUUAAAAAAUUAGAAUAACUUUUUUUUAAAAACUGUACAUUAUAUAUGAUUAAUUGAUCCGAUUAAUCGAUUAUAAGAGAAAAUUACCUUAGGGAUAACAGCGUUAUAAUUUUUAGAGUUCAUAUCGAAAAAAUUGAUUGCGACCUCGAUGUUGGAUUAGAAUUUUUAUUGGGUGCAGAAGUUCAAUAAAAAGGUCUGUUCGACCUUUAAAUUUCUACAUGAUCUGAGUUUAAACCGGCGUGAGCCAGGUUGGUUUCUAUCUUUAAUAAAAUAUAAUUUUUUAGUACGAAAGGAUUAAAAAUUUGGUUAAUAAUUUUAUUUUUGAAUAUUAUU